UAAAGGCUCUUUUAAGGAAGAAUGCGCUCUUAGUAGUAAGAUUACCCUAUGUAGAAGACGAUUUGAGGCAUUCAACUGAAUGAAGAUGGCAUGAAGACGAUUGUUGCUCCCCUUGCUUAGAAGGGACGCUUAAUCGCUUAAUUGAGGCACCUACCUCCUUGCAUUGUCACUCUGCUCUUUGCUCGCUGUUCGGGAGCUCCACUCAUCACCCCUAUCACUCGACAACCCAAGCUUUUUAUUCAUUACAGUAAUGUGAUUUCAUGUCUCUGAUGAUUCGGCAGGAGGAAAGAGGGAAGGCUUUGUAACACGCUUAAGGUUUCCUUCAUUCUGGGCAAGAAAGUAGGAAACACAAGUAAAAGAAAAAGGGACUUCCUAGUCAUGCUUUUUUACAUUUUAAAAGACACCAACAAAAUG
rnacentral:lncRNA from 1 species